rnacentral:rRNA from 1 species
UCUGGUGAUGAUGGCGAAGAGGUCACACCCGUUCCCAUGCCGAACACGGAAGUUAGGCUCUUCAGCGCCGAUGGUAGUCGGGGGUUUCCCCCUGUGAGAGUAGGACAUCGCCAGGC